GAUGAACGCUGGCGGCGUGCCUAAUACAUGCAAGUCGCGCGAAGCGGGGACGGGUGAGUAACACGUGGAUAACCUCCUAUAAGACUGGGAUAACUUCGGGAAACCGGAGCUAAACCGGAUACUUAUCGAUGGAUCCGCGCUGCAUUAGCUAGUUGGUAAGGUAACGGCUUACCAAGGCAACGAUGCCUAGCCGACCUGAGAGGGUGAUCGGCCACACGGGAACUGAGACACGGUCCAGACUCCUACGGAAGGCAGCAGUAGGGAAUCUGCCGCAAUGGGCGAAAGCCUGACGGAGCAACGCCGAGUGAGUGAGGAAGGUCUUGGGAUCGUAAAGCUCUGUUAGUAGGGAAGCGUUACCUAAUCAGAAAGCCACGGCUAACUACGUGCCAGCAGCCGCGGUAAUUC
rnacentral:rRNA from 1 species